rnacentral:rRNA from 1 species
CAGGUUGACCUCGGAUCA